AAUGAACGUUGGCGGCGUGGAUUAGGCAUGCAAGUCGUGCGGGAGUAGCAAUACUCUAGCGGCGAAAGGGAUAGUAACACGUAGAUCACCUACCCUUGGGUUCGGGAUAGCUACGGGAAACUGUAGGUAAUACCGAAUAACGUCUCCGGACCAAAGGUGUGAUUCCACCUGAGGAGGGGUCUGCGUCCUAUUAGCUAGUUGGUAGGGUAAUGGCCUACCAAGGCCAAGAUGGGUAGCGGGUGUGAGAGCACGACCCGCAUCACUGGGACUGAGACACUGCCCAGACACCUACGGGAGGCAG
rnacentral:rRNA from 1 species